rnacentral:rRNA from 1 species
UGCAAGUCGAACGAGCCUUCGGGCGAGUGGCGGACGGGUGAGUAACGCGUGGGAAUCUGCCCUCAGGAGGGGGAUAACGGCUGGAAACGGCCGCUAAUACCCCAUAUGCCGAGAGGUGAAAUGAAUUUCGCCUGAGGAUGAGCCCGCGUCUGAUUAGCUAGUUGGUGGGGUAACGGCCCACCAAGGCGACGAUCAGUAGCUGGUCUGAGAGGAUGAUCAGCCACACUGGGACUGAGACACGGCCCAGACUCCUACGGGAGGCAGCAGUGGGGAAUUUUCCGCAAUGGGCGAAAGCCUGACGGAGCAACGCCGCGUGAGGGAUGAAGGCCUCUGGGCUGUAAACCUCUUUUCUCAAGGAAGAAGACAUGACGGUACUUGAGGAAUAAGCCACGGCUAAUUCCGUGCCAGCAGCCGCGGUAAUACGGGAGUGGCAAGCGUUAUCCGGAAUUAUUGGGCGUAAAGCGUCCGCAGGCGGCCUUGUAAGUCUGUCGUUAAAGCGUGGAGCUUAACUCCAUUUCAGCGAUGGAAACUACAAGGCUUGAGUGUGGUAGGGGCAGAGGGAAUUCCCGGUGUAGCGGUGAAAUGCGUAGAUAUCGGGAAGAACACCAGUGGCGAAGGCGCUCUGCUGGGCCAUAACUGACGCUCAUGGACGAAAGCCAGGGGAGCGAAAGGGAUUAGAUACCCCUGUAGUCCUGGCCGUAAACGAUGAACACUAGGUGUCGGGGGAAUCGACCCCCUCGGUGUCGUAGCUAACGCGUUAAGUGUUCCGCCUGGGGAGUACGCACGCAAGUGUGAAACUCAAAGGAAUUGACGGGGGCCCGCACAAGCGGUGGAGUAUGUGGUUUAAUUCGAUGCAACGCGAAGAACCUUACCAGGGUUUGACAUCCUGCGAAUCCCUUGGAAACGAGGGAGUGCCUUCGGGAGCGCAGAGACAGGUGGUGCAUGGCUGUCGUCAGCUCGUGUCGUGAGAUGUUGGAUUAAGUCCCGCAACGAGCGCAACCCACGUCUUUAGUUGCCAGCAUUCAGUUGGGCACUCUAGAGAGACCGCCGGUGAUAAACCGGAGGAAGGUGUGGAUGACGUCAAGUCAUCAUGCCCCUUACAUCCUGGGCUACACACGUACUACAAUGCUACGGACAAAGGGUUGCAAGCUCGCGAGAGUUAGCUAAUCCCAUAAACCGUGGCUCAGUUCAGAUCGUAGGCUGCAACUCGCCUACGUGAAGGAGGAAUCGCUAGUAAUCGCAGGUCAGCAUACUGCGGUGAAUACGUUCCCGGGCCUUGUACACACCGCCCGUCACACCAUGGAAGUUGGCCAUGCCCGAAGUCGUUACUCCAACCCUUGUGGAGGAGGACGCCGAAGGUGGGGCUGAUGACUGGGGUGAAGUCGUAACAAGGUA